rnacentral:tRNA from 1 species
GAGGGUAUAGGUCAGUGGUGGAGCACGUGCCUAGCAUGCACGAGAUCCUGGGUUCAAUCCCUAGUACUGCUA